GACACAGGGAGGUAGUGACAAGAAAUAACAAUACGGGGCUUGAAGUCUUGUAAUUGGAAUGAUGGGAAUUUAAACCCCUUCCAGAGUAUCAAUUGGAGGGCAAGUCUGGUGCCAGCAGCCGCGGUAAUUCCAGCUCCAAUAGCGUAUAUUAAACUUGUUGCAGUUAAAAAGCUCGUAGUUGAAUUUCUGCUGUUUCGUUGACUGCGUUUGGCGUUUGUCAUCGUUGCGGCUUGGUUGGGUUUCGAUUAUUCGUUUCCCGGCGUUUACUUUGAGAAAAUUAGAGUGCUUGAAGCAGGCUUUUGCCUUGAAUACUUUAGCAUGGAAUAACGGAGUAGGACUUUGGUUCUAUUUUGUUGGUUUUAGGAGCCAGAGUAAUGGUUAAUAGGAACAGUUGGGGGCAUUCGUAUUUGACUGUCAGAGGUGAAAUUCUUAG
rnacentral:rRNA from 1 species